rnacentral:rRNA from 1 species
UUUAUGGAGAGUUUGAUCCUGGCUCAGGAUGAACGCUGGCGGCGUGCCUAAUACAUGCAAGUCGAGCGAACUGACGAGGAGCUUGCUCCUUUGACGUUAGCGGCGGACGGGUGAGUAACACGUGGGUAACCUACCUAUAAGACCGGAAUA